UGCCUGUUAGUGAAACCGCGUCGGAUUUCCCCUUCUCCAGCUCUGAAGCAACAUCACCCCGCUCUAUUUUGCUCGUUUCAACCCCGUGAUGGCGACGCCCAGCGUCGAUUCAGCUACCUACCACGCAAACUCGCCAAAUCCACAUCUCAUGGCGCUUGUGCGUGAUCCGUGAUCGUCGCAUUGUACUUCCACUGUGUCGAAACGUCUCCAUAAAGUAUCAUUUUAAAUAACCAAACCACUGAGAAACGGUGAUCGAUUCAAAAUCCCGUCUAUGUAAUCGGUACUUGAGAUUCUUGAGAUCGAAGUGUAACUAAAGGGAAAGAAGAGAAUGGUGUGUUGUGAUGUUUAGAGUGUCCUUUGCCCUUGCUAAUAGUAAAAUAGAAGAGAUGUAACUGAAUGGACGAAGUAAUUUUCCUCUCUAAAUCGAUAAAUUGAUAAAUUUUCUUACGGGCAAAUUUGUUCUCUGUUCCGAGUGAAUAGUGAUCUUUUGAUGUUUCUAAUUGUCAAUCAUGAAGAUACAUUGAAGAAACAAAUAAUAUUUCUGAUUUUGUCUGCCAUUUCUUGGUGAUGAUAUAGCGCAGGCUCGUGGAGAAUCCAUUGCUACCAUCUUGCAGACGAUUCAAGGGAUGAUGGAAAUUUUGUUGGAACGUCUAGCAACGUUUCAGUCAGAUGUUGAGAAAUAUUUGCAAAGGAACCGAUAUUUUUCAGAUCGCAUAAAAUGGUGCUGCUGCCAGUGACGACGGUGCUUGUUGGAGCAAGGGGAACGAGAACAGAGAGAGAAAGAGAGAAAGGGAGAGAAAAUUCGACGGUGUGGAAGAGAGAACGACCGAGGGGAGAAGAAUGGAGAGGACGGAAGGUCGUGGAACGAGAGAGAAAGAGACGGAAACAGAGACAGAGAUGUGCCGGCUGGCAAGCAGAUGGUUGCGCCGUUUAUUGGUUUAUUCGUCGGUUCAGCCAUCACGUCCCGUCCAGCCAUCAGACCAGCCGGUGUUCCUCUUUGUAUUCCUCGCGUUCAGAACUUAACCACCCGGGCCUUAUCUACUCGCCUUCGACCAUGAUACGAC